UACGUAAGUGGCGAGCGUUAUCCGGAAUUACUGGGCGUAAAGCGUUCGUAGGCGGCGCGGUAAGUUGGGUUUGAAAGCCCGGGGCUCAACUCCGGACCCGGAUCCAAAACUACCGCGCUGGAGCGUAUCAGGGGGCAGCGGAAUUCCCGGUGUAGCGGUAAUAUGGCGUAGAUAUCGGGAGGAACACCAGUGGCGAAGGCGGCUGCCUGGGGUAUUGCUGACGCUGAGGAACGAAGGCCAGGGGAGCGAACGG
rnacentral:rRNA from 1 species